GUAUGGCUCAGUUGGUAGAGCGCACCCUUGGUAAGGGUGAGGUCCCCAGUUCGACUCUGGGUAUCAGCACCA
rnacentral:tRNA from 1 species